GCACCUGAUUGAUUUUGGUCGCCAACGAGUGGCGGACGGGUGAGUAACACGUAGGUAACCUGCCCAGAAGCGGGGGACAACAUUUGGAAACAGAUGCUAAUACCGCAUAACAACGUUGUUCGCAUGAACAACGCUUAAAAGAUGGCUUCUCGCUAUCACUUCUGGAUGGACCUGCGGUGCAUUAGCUUGUUGGUGGGGUAACGGCCUACCAAGGCGAUGAUGCAUAGCCGAGUUGAGAGACUGAUCGGCCACAAUGGGACUGAGACACGGCCCAUACUCCUACGGGAGGCAGCAGUAGGGAAUCUUCCACAAUGGGCGCAAGCCUGAUGGAGCAACACCGCGUGAGUGAAGAAGGGUUUCGGCUCGUAAAGCUCUGUUGUUAAAGAAGAACACGUAUGAGAGUAACUGUUCAUACGUUGACGGUAUUUAACCAGAAAGUCACGGCUAACUACGUGCCAGCAGCCGCGGUAAUACGUAGGUGGCAAGCGUUAUCCGGAUUUAUUGGGCGUAAAGAGAGUGCAGGCGGUUUUCUAAGUCUGAUGUGAAAGCCUUCGGCUUAACCGGAGAAGUGCAUCGGAAACUGGAUAACUUGAGUGCAGAAGAGGGUAGUGGAACUCCAUGUGUAGCGGUGGAAUGCGUAGAUAUAUGGAAGAACACCAGUGGCGAAGGCGGCUACCUGGUCUGCAACUGACGCUGAGACUCGAAAGCAUGGGUAGCGAACAGGAUUAGAUACCCUGGUAGUCCAUGCCGUAAACGAUGAGUGCUA
rnacentral:rRNA from 1 species